AUUUGUUGUGCUUGGUCGAGUGAAGGUGUGAACGGUUUUGUCAAGUAAUUUUUGUUUUUGUGACGUGUGGUGUGCCAGGCCAGGAUUAUAAUUACUACAUAUAGUGACUCUUGUUGUCCAAACGUCUACCAAUAAAGGUAACUUUUGAGAGUGCCCCUUUUGACGGUCGCCGCUGCCGGGCACCCGCGGAUCCUUCCUGGGCGCAAGUGCAGUUGCCGGACGCCCUUUACUUACCCCGCGGAGAGGCGCACCGCCGUUAACUCUUGCGUCCCAGCGUGCGCUCACGGCCGCUUGGCAAUUCUGGUAAUGUCUACUUGGUCAGGGUGUUUUUUAAAUUAUGUGUUCAUGC
rnacentral:misc_RNA from 1 species